rnacentral:rRNA from 1 species
GAUGAACGCUGGCGGCGUGCCUAAUACAUGCAAGUCGAGCGAACGGACGAGAAGCUUGCUUCUCUGAUGUUAGCGGCGGACGGGUGAGUAACACGUGGAUAACCUACCUAUAAGACUGGGAUAACUUCGGGAAACCGGAGCUAAUACCGGAUAAUAUUUUGAACCGCAUGGUUCAAAAGUGAAAGACGGUCUUGCUGUCACUUAUAGAUGGAUCCGCGCUGCAUUAGCUAGUUGGUAAGGUAACGGCUUACCAAGGCAACGAUGCAUAGCCGACCUGAGAGGGUGAUCGGCCACACUGGAACGGAGACACGGUCCAGACUCCUACGGGAGGCAGCAGUAGGGAAUGUUCGGCAAUGGGCGAAAGCCUGACGGAGCAACGCCGCGUGUGUGAUGAAGGUCUUCGGAUCGUAAAACUCUGUUAUUAGGGAAGAACAUAUGUGUAAGUAACUGUGCACAUCUUGACGGUACCUAAUCAGAAAGCCACGGCUAACUACGUG